GACGAACGCUGACGGUGUGCUUUAGACAUGCAAGUCGAACGCGAAAGCCCUUCGGGGUUAGUAGAGUGGCGAACGGGUGAGUAACACGUGGGCAAUCUGCCCCUCGCAGGGGGACAACCGGAGGAAACUCCGGCUAAUACCCCGUACGCUUGCUGGACCGCAUGGUCCGGCAAGGAAAGGUAGCUUCGGCCAUCCGGCGAGGGAUGAGCCCGCGGUGCAUUAGCUAGUUGGUGAGGUAACGGCUCACCAAGGCGACGAUGCAUAGCUGGUCUGAGAGGAUGAUCAGCCACACUGGGACUGAGACACGGCCCAGACUCCUACGGGAGGCAGCAGUCGGGAAUCUUGCACAAUGGGCGAAAGCCUGAUGCAGCAACACCGUGUGUGCGACGAAGGCC
rnacentral:rRNA from 1 species